rnacentral:lncRNA from 1 species
AGAGAAUGAAGUGAUACUGAAGGCAGAGAUGAAGUUCUAAGGAGAUAGAGCUUAGAAAGACCUGGAAAAACACCAAAAAGAGGGACCGCACGAGGCUUGGGCACCCUGUCUAGAAGCUUGAGCCCUGGAAAAUCGACGUCCACCGCCCCGGCGCCCUGUUGGGGCGCUUGAGCGUCGGGUCUCGAAGCCUGGGCGCCCAUCUUAGAGGCUCAAGCCCUACAUGAGGAUCAUCCACUGCCCGGGCACCCUAAGUGGGGCGCUUGAGCGUCGAGCUUCGUGGGUCAGGCCCAAUUUUUGCUCUGUUUCAACUUUAUUGGAUCGGGCCCUGUUUCCAUUCUGUUCUGACUCUAUUUAAAGGACCCUGGCGCUCUAGGUUUUGUAUCUUUGGCAAAGAGAAGCGCAGCAUCACACUCUUUCCCCAAUUCUUAGGGAUUCUCUAUCACAUUCUCUUCU